UGAGGAUUCUUGCCACUGGUUCCUUGCAGCUGUGACUCCCCAGGGUAAGAGGCAAAGAGCCACCAGGUCCCAGCUGAGGAAGCCCUGUGGUCAGCUCAGACAGGGAUGCGGACUGAAGCCGAAGCAGGUGUUAGUAACUGUCGUACCUACAGACGAGGAAACUGAGCCUCCAUGAAGUGAAGUGACUCACCCACAGUCACACAGCUAAUAUAUGCCAGAGCCCACAGCAGAACCCAGACGUACUGAGGCCAAGUUCAGUGCCAGCAUAAAACAGGCUCCAGUUCUCCCUGGAUUCCAGGAACACCAUCUCCUUCCUCGUCCCUUCCGUCCCAGGGAAGGUCUCCUGGUUCUUCUAGCCCCUCUAAUUUCCUCUCAUCUCUCCUGUAACAACAAUGAUCAGAAUGAUACCUGAGGAAUAAACCAUAAGAAAAAUGAGCAUUGAGAGGGUUUACACUGAAAAUUUUUUGUGAUGAAAAGAUUUGAAGAAGAUGACAGGAGACGGAGAAGCACCAGCUGAUCUGCAGACUCCAAGGAGGUCCCAGGAAGAGGUGUCAUCCACUAAGAUCUUCUGGGACAGGAAAGCCCUGUGAUACCUCUUACAUCACACCAAACAGAGCCCCAC
rnacentral:lncRNA from 1 species